rnacentral:rRNA from 1 species
CCUACGGGAGGCAGCAGUGAGGAAUAUUGGUCAAUGGGCGCGAGCCUGAACCAGCCAAGUAGCGUGAAGGAUGACUGCCCUACGGGUUGUAAACUUCUUUUAUAAAGGAAUAAAGUGAGGCACGUGUGCCUUUUUGUAUGUACUUUAUGAAUAAGGAUCGGCUAACUCCGUGCCAGCAGCCGCGGUAAUACGGAGGAUGCGAGCGUUAUCCGGAUUUAUUGGGUUUAAAGGGUGCGUAGGCGGAUCGUUAAGUCAGUGGUAAAAUUGAGGGGCUCAACCCCUUCCCGCCAUUGAAACUGGCGUUCUGGAGUGGAAGAGAAGUAUGCGGAAUGCGUGGUGUAGCGGUGAAAUGCAUAGAUAUCACGCAGAACCCCGAUUGCGAAGGCAGCAUGCCGGCUUCCGACUGACGCUGAAGCACGAAAGCGUGGGGAUCGAACAGGAUUAGAUACCCUUGUAGUC